rnacentral:rRNA from 1 species
AGUGAACGCUGGCGGCAGGCCUAACACAUGCAAGUCGAACGGCAGCACAGCAGUAGCAAUACUGUGGGUGGCGAGUGGCGGACGGGUGAGGAAUACAUCGGAAUCUGCCUAGUCGUGGGGGAUAACGUAGGGAAACUUACGCUAAUACCGCAUACGACCUACGGGUGAAAGCGGGGGAUCGCAAGACCUCGCGCGAUUAGAUGAGCCGAUGUCCGAUUAGCUAGUUGGCGGGGUAAUGGCCCACCAAGGCGACGAUCGGUAGCUGGUCUGAGAGGAUGAUCAGCCACACUGGAACUGAGACACGGUCCAGACUCCUACGGGAGGCAGCAGUGGGGAAUAUUGGACAAUGGGCGAAAGCCUGAUCCAGCCAUGCCGCGUGUGUGAAGAAGGUCUUCGGAUUGUAAAGCACUUUAAGUUGGGAGGAAGGGCAGUAAGUUAAUACCUUGCUGUUUUGACGUUACCGACAGAAUAAGCACCGGCUAACUUCGUGCCAGCAGCCG